UUUUAACUCAAAAGCUUCAACAGCCACCCAAACACAAAGCAAUCACAGGUCAAGCGCGAGAGUAAGAACUACACAAGGAGUUAGAGUACCUUAGCAAAACUUUGCUAUCAGGUCAAGCGCGAGAGUAAGAACUACACAAGGAGUUAGAGUACCUUAGCAAAACUUUGCUAUCAGGUUGAGUUGUGAUGGGCGAUGAAGUGUUGCUGAGUGGAGUUUUUGUUGAACUUAAAGUAGGCUCAGAAAGGAUACAUGUCCUCAUACAUGUAUCUCAGUUAUGCAUUCCGCUGUAAACACUGAUUAUUUCAGUUACACCUUCCGUUGCAAACUCUGAUAAUGUUUUAGCCAAGCCCCUAACGAUGCCUUUUUCCUUUUAAGGAAUAUAACGCGAAUACAAGUUCUUUGAGUACCCUUUUUAUGCGAACUAUGCCUUUUUCCUUUUUAAGGAAUAUUUCACGCGUAUUCAA